UUAGCAAAGUGGUGCGGAGACGAGAGACCAUCUAAGGACAGCUCAGGAUCGCAAAUGUUCAUUGUAUUCCAUGCUAGUAGUGUUGGGACCCGUGGUGUUUUUAAGAUCAACUUUUUUGUAGUACCAAAAUCACAACAGGAGUCUGGAGACAUGAAAACAAUCACCAUACUUUUGUCAUGCAUCGCAGUUGUAUUUGUUCCGGCAGUGCUCUUCAGUGUUUACAGGAUUCGCCAGAGACGAUACCAUCGGUCAUCACACACAAAUCGUGCUUUCGUGGCCACCACCAUGUCUUCAAACCCAGCACUUCAGGUUCCACACCAAGCAGCAAUGAUGCCAGCUACGGAAACUGGAGGCGAAAUAGAAUUGUCUCCCUACACCUCAGCUGCUCAAAGCCAGCCUCCCCCGUCAUACGAAAGUCUGGAGUUUGGACCCAACAGUGGGAAAUAGUGAUCUGAGCUAUUGGACAGCAGAUGUAAACGUAGCAGCGAAGAUGUAAUUCUGUCUGAUAGACGUAUGGGGAUUAAACCAUGGAACUGUACAGUUCAAUUCCUUCAAUACGGAAGGGGGUGGAGUGGGGGGGGGGGACACAGAGAGAGAGACAGAGACAGACACCUUUUCAUAUUGUGUGCGUGUGUCAGUGUAUGUGUGUGCGCGCUAACUUAGGUUAUGAAAGAGUUUGAAUUAUGAAAUACUGAACAAAAAGAUGCAAAUGACGUUUACAUACAAUACUAAAUUCUAACGUGAUUAUUUUACAUGUAUGUGUUCUGUGAGAAAGUGAUGAUCUUUACUGCUUAUGGCAUUGAAAUGCAAAAUACCAAUAUUUA